GACGAACGCUGGCGGCGUGCUUAACACAUGCAAGUCGAACGGAAAGGCCCUGCUUUUGUGGGGUGCUCGAGUGGCGAACGGGUGAGUAACACGUGAGUAACCUGCCCUUGACUUUGGGAUAACUUCAGGAAACUGGGGCUAAUACCGGAUAGGAGCUCCUGCUGCAUGGUGGGGGUUGGAAAGUUUCGGCGGUUGGGGAUGGACUCGCGGCUUAUCAGCUUGUUGGUGGGGUAGUGGCUUACCAAGGCUUUGACGGGUAGCCGGCCUGAGAGGGUGACCGGCCACACUGGGACUGAGAUACGGCCCCGACUCCUACGGGAGGCAGCAGUGGGGAAUAUUGCACGAUGGGCGGCAGCCUGAUGCAGCAACGCCGCGUGCGGGAUGACGGCCUUCGGGUUGUAAACCGCUUUCGCCUGUGACGAAGCGUGAGUGACGGUAAUGGGUAAAGAAGCACCGGCUAACUACGUG
rnacentral:rRNA from 1 species